rnacentral:sRNA from 1 species
UUUGCUUCUUGUUUUCAAUUACGAUCGUGGUUGAUAUUCAGGAAAUUUUCAAUUAAAAAAUUAAUUGAAUCCAGAAAACUGCACUUUAUAUGGCACAUCCCUGAUUUAUUUCAUUCUCAUUUUCAUUUUUCGGCUAAAUAAAUCAGCAAACAAAUGUAGUGUGCAGCCUAGUAUGCUAUUGAAGUAGUUUUUCAAUCAUAGUAUGUUAUGAAUUUGAGCAAUAGAAAAUUUAUACUUUUGUAUUCUUGUCAAAUAUUUUUCAAUUCUGUUUGGUUUGGAAUAUCCUAGAAGUUCGUUACAAAUAUUCUUUAUUUAAAUAAAUGCUUUUAUUAUUCAUACUCAAAAUUCAUCUUUAUUCCACAAUUCUAAGAGGUUAUGGGCCAUAAAGAGACAAGUGGAAUAUGGCAGUUUAGCGACUGCAACUAUAAUGAGUGGCAAUUUCGAGUAAUGAUGCAUUUGGAAGCGGUGAAUUUGGGAGAGGUUUUAAUGGGCCAACUCCCAGAUAAUAAUAUUAAAAACGACUUUAGGAAGAAGGACCGCAAAGCUAAAGAGCGAAUUGUAGCUUUUAUUGGAAAUGAUUGCCUAGGAUAUGUUCGAGAUAAAAAGACCGCUAAGAAAAUGUGGGAGAGCUUAAAAGCAACAUUCGAGAAGAAGUCCAUUGUUAAUCAACUAUUGGUGAGAAAGCAACCCAUAAAUUUGAAAAUGAAUGAUGGUGAGUCCCUAGAUGACUUCCUGUUGAAAUUUGAGGCGUUCGUAAGAAAAUUCUGGAGCAGUUGUUUCUGAAAGCGACAAAUUGACACAAUUGUUUAUGACACUACCUGGAAAGCACGAUUCUGAUUCUGUCAAAAUAUUGAUGAAGACAAAUUGAAGUAUAAUAUGGUUAAAAAUCGGAUGCUGUUAGAAGAGACAAAAAUGUCGAACAGAGAAGUUGAAAACGAGGAUCGUGGAAAAACAGCUUCUGUUGAAAAAAAGUCCUACAAUGGGAAGUUUCAAGGUAGGUGUUUCAAAUGUAACAAAUUUGGUCACGAAGCUUAGGAAUGCCGUAGUAACCAACUUAAAUUUCCUGAAAAGAGCGCUCGCGUAGCAGAAAAUAAACAAAAAGUUAAUAAAAUUGUAUCAGAUGGAAAUUCAAAAGCAGUUUGUUUCAUGGUCGAUAAUGAUAAAACUAAAAAAAUGAUGGGAAUUAUGUUACGUUUAAGCUCGAUUCUGGAUCAAGCGAACAUCUAGUAAACGAAAAAUGGCGCUUUAGCAAUCAGACUGCUUGAUGAAUCCAAUCGAAAUAAAAGUAGCGAAAGAUAAUCAAUCUAUUUUUGCAAAAUGCUCUGGACAGAUUCAAGAUGAUUUUACACAUUUUGCUAUUGUCUGCAAUAUUAAAGCCAAGACUUGUGUUUUCGAGAAGUUCAAGGAGUAUGAAGCACUAGCAACAGCGCGGUUUGGAACAGCUAUCUCUAAACUUACCGUUGAUCAAGGGACAGAAUAUGCUUCAAUUGAACAAAAAAGUGGUAUUUGAAUAAUGGCAUUCAAGUGAAAGAAACCAUCCCAUAUUCUCCUCAGGAAAAUGGUGUUCUGAGCGGUUCAACAGAACCGUAGUUGAAAAAGUAAGGUCUACACUCAAGUGCUCCAAAAUAUCUUUGUAAAGAAGCUAUUCUAACCGCAGUGUACACAAUUAGUAGAAGGAAAUGUGACCCCUGCAGGGAUGUGGUACGGCUAUAAACCUAAUAUUGAACCCUUAAGAAAAUUUGGAUGUAAAGCCUACGUUUGGAAUUCAAAGCAGAAAAGAAAGAAACUUGAUCCUAAGAGCAAGCAAAUGGUCAUGAUUGGAUAUUUUCCGAACGGAUAUAAGGUGUGGGAUCCAACCAAGAAAAAAAUUUUCACUUCUCGAGAUGUUAAAUUUGAUGAAAAUGUAUUUCCUUAUAAGGAACCGUCAAACAAAGGUGUGGAUGUUGUUAUAGUCAGCAACGAGCAAAAAGGGGAAGAUUAUAAAAAUUUGCUUGUAUCUACUGAUAGUCUAGCAAUGACAGAAGUCAAUAAUCGAGAUUUAAAUCAAAAUGGUAAUGAGUCAUCCAAUUACAACGAAGGAGAAACCAACAUUUCGACCAAAUUUGAUUCUAAUGGCAAUAACACGACUGAAGAAGAUUCUGAUGUUGUAGAAACUACUCAGCGAAGAAGCAGCAGAGAACGAAGAUUGCCUUUACGUUUCUUGGACUAUUUUAUAAGCAAUUUCGCUACACCUGAACCUACACACGAAUCUUUAACAGCAACGUUUUCCGAUAUAUUCGUGAGAACUGACUCAGAGGAAUGGUACAAGGCUGUGAAAAAGAAUUGAAGUCGAUGGAGAAAAACAAGGUAUGGAUAACAACAAAUCUGCCUAAAAAUGUAGGUAUUUCGUAUUAAGUAUGAUGAAAAUUGACUUCCAGUUAGACAUAAGCCAGCUUUGUUGUCAAGGGAUUUUUACUAAAGUAUGGUGUAAAUUAUACUCAGACUUACGCUCCUGUGACGAAACUAACAACAUUAGAACCGUGUUAGCAGUUGCCAUGAAAAAGAAUUCAUACCUAGAACAACUAGAUGUUAAGACUGCCUUUUUGCACGGUGUUUUGUAAGAGGAAAUAUAUAUAUUUGUUCUACAAUAGAAGGGGUUUCAACAACUCAAGGUAAUGCGUGCAGAUUGCUUAAGUCACUUUAUGGUCUAAAAUAAGCUCCAAAAUGUUGGAAUGAAACUUUGAACAAUUUCCUGGUUAAUAUUGGAUUUCAAAGAUCAAAGCACGACUAUUGUCUAUAUACCAAUUUUUUAAAAUGUGAAUUGUAGAAACAAUUUGUACUAAAAAUGUGGACAAAGGCAUGCAAUAAAGAAAAACGGAAAACUCAAACAUUGACAAAACUUACAAAGAACUACUGGGUAGUUUGAUCAUCAUGUUGGUUUUGGUAUCAUGUUGGUUAUCUUGGAAGGUUUCAACAACAGCCUUCAGAACAACAUUGAAUAGCUCUUAAAUGAGUCUAAGAUUUUUGAAAGGGUCUAUGAACCGAAAACUUGUUUAUGAACCAAAUGAGAGCGACAUAUUAACUGAGUACGCCGAUGUUGGCUGGGGUAGUGACAUAAAUGAUAGAAAAUCUGUCAGUGGAUAUUUUCUUAAAGUAUUCGGCUGUACUGUAUCCUGGUCCAGUAAAAAACAACAAAUUAUUGCAACAUCUUCCAGCGAGCAGCCUUAGAAACAGUGUGGAUCAGAAACGAGCAAAGCAUAUUGAUAUCAAACAUCAUUUUGCACAAAAUCGUUAGUUAAUAUGUUUUAAGAAUCUAUGCAACUGGAUUUGAUUAUAUGAUUGAGAAGGGGUAUUGAAGUAGUUUUUCAAUCAUAGUAUGUUAUGAAUUUGAGCAAUAGAAAAUGUGUACUUUUGUAUUCUUGUCAAAUAUUUUUCAAUUCAGUCUGUUUGGAAUAUCUUAGAAGUUCAUUACAAAUAUUCUUUCUUUAAAUAAAUCCUUUUAUUAUUCAAACUCAA